rnacentral:lncRNA from 1 species
CAGGUCACGACCCCCAGGAGACCUGGAGGACUGAAUGCUGCUGCCCCCAAGGAGGAGGCUGCCGUCUUAUCCCAGGAGGGAGAGCAGGUGAAGUCCCCAGGGGAGGAAGCACCUAGCCCCAUUCCUGCUGAGCAGGAGGUGGCAGGUACCCCAGACUGGGAGGUAAGGACAGCCCGGGGCUUCGACUGAACGUCUCCAGCGUGGGUCCAACUGAGCAGCCAUGGAGCACUGCAGAGUGGGAGGCAGCAGGGCAGGGAGGCAGUGCUGGAGGCUGGCUCAACCCCAAGACCAGCAGGCCAAGCUGCCAUCCCAGGGGAGCGAGGACGUCUGUGCAGAGCUGAGAGGCAGCAGCCAUGUGUGAACAGACUGGGCCUCAUCCUGGCCCCACCGACUUUGUGUGGACAGAGCCUGUUUCCCUGUCUGUGCAACACAGAACCUGCCUGAUCUCACUGCUGGAUCCCUCUUCUUCCUGCCAGGAAAAUAAAAAGGUUCAAAAGGAAGUUGCUGCGUAUCCAUCUGAGGCCUCUGAGGACAGCAAAGAGCAAAGGCCCUGGGACCGGGUCUACGUGCCCAUGACAGAGCUCUGGCUGGACUGGUUCUGAGCCUCUAACACCCCCAAGACUCAGAACCGUGAAGAAAAUCUUUCCAAUAAAUCCAAGAGUUGCUGCUGCUAUAGGCCAGGCUGCCACCUUUCGGGGCCUCCGUCUUCAGACAAACCCAGCCUGGCUUCAUCCACACUCCCUGUCCCCACAGCUGCAGGAACAGCACUUCCUGCCACCGAGCCGUGUGACCACAGUGGAUUGUCUCUGGAGGGGCCCAAGGGGGCCCUGGCCACCCUUCUGACUGACUCGGUGCCAGGGGACAGACCAACGUCCCUCUCGUGCUGACAGCCGGGCCGCACCCUGGCAUGAGGGCAUUUACAGAAAUGCUGGCGGAACUGCUGCCAGGGAGGCUGUAGGGUCCUCUGGCAAAAGAGGCCUCAGGUGGCUCCUCA